rnacentral:tRNA from 4 species
GGAAGGGUGCCGGAGUGGUUGAACGGGGCGGUCUCGAAAACCGUUGUGGGCGCAAGCCCACCGUGGGUUCGAAUCCCACCCCUUCCG